CGUGAAAUUGUUGAAAGGGAAGCGUUUAUGACCAGACUUGGACUUGGUUAAUCAUCUGGGGUUCUCCCCAGUGCACUUUUCCAGUUCAGGCCAGCAUCAGUUUUCCCCGGGGGAUAAAGGCGGCGGGAAUGUGGCUCUCUUCGGGGAGUGUUAUAGCCCGCCGUGUAAUACCCUGGGGGGGACUGAGGUUCGCGCAUCUGCAAGGAUGCUGGCGUAAUGGUCAUCAACGACCCGUCUUGAAACACGG
rnacentral:rRNA from 1 species